GAUGAACGCUGGCGGCGUGCUUAACACAUGCAAGUCGAACGGAAAGGCUCCUGCUUGCAGGGGUACUCGAGUGGCGAACGGGUGAGUAACACGUGGGUGAUCUGCCCUGCACUUCGGGAUAAGCCUGGGAAACUGGGUCUAAUACCGGAUAGGACGAUGGUUUGGAUGCCAUUGUGGAAAGUUUUUUCGGUGUGGGAUGAGCUCGCGGCCUAUCAGCUUGUUGGUGGGGUAAUGGCCUACCAAGGCGUCGACGGGUAGCCGGCCUGAGAGGGUGUACGGCCACAUUGGGACUGAGAUACGGCCCAGACUCCUACGGGAGGCAGCAGGGGGGAAUAUUGCACAAUGGGCGCAAGCCUGAUGCAGCGACGCCGCGUGGGGGAUGACGGCCUUCGGGUUGUAAACGCCUUUCGCUAGGGACGAAGCGCAAGUGACGGUACCUGGAGAAGAAGCACCGGCUAACUACG
rnacentral:rRNA from 1 species